UGAUCAAAGAUCUAAGUAUGGGGGAAUUUGAUGAGUGUCAUUUCUAACACUAUUUAUAUCUAUGUUCCUUAUAUUUUGAGUUAGUUCCUUUAGCAUUUUAGUGUAUUUGUUUAUGUUUUUGAUAUUUUGUAGCUUAUUUCUCUUUUGUGUAUUUUAUAUAGGUUAUUGAGUGGUUUAAGAAGAUAAAAAGAUGAACCAGAUAAAGGAGUCAAUGCGAAGCACAAAUGGAAGUUCCAACCGAGGAACUUGAGAAACUGACGGAGAUGAGAACAGCUUGCUGGGCACGUUUUGUUUGUCUAGGUUCAUUGAAUCCGUGAAUUUGGGAAGUCUUUGGGAAUAAUUUACAAGAUCUACAGUAGUUGGAAAAGAUAUAUUUGAUUAAAGAGAAGAUCUUAUCAAUAGGUUAAGAUAUGGAAAAAGAUAUAUUUUCACAAUCUUAUCUUAUUACUUUCCUUAUCUUUGAGAGAUUCCCAAUCAUCUCUUAGCCUAUUUAAAGCUACGAAAUUGGAGACACUCGAGACGCAAGAGAAGAGAGGCUUCACUCCAAAACCCCUCAAGGGUUUGGAGUCGUUGGUCACAAUUCGUGAUACAUUGCAGUGGAGGAACUCGGAGCUCCCUGGGAGGAAUUCGGAUCUAAAUCUGAGGAACUUAAUGGGUUCUUGUUUCGUUUUCUUUUGUUUUAUUUAUAUUAUGAAUCUUUAGCUUGUUAUUCUCAUUAACUAUUAUUUGAAGCCAUGUACUAAGUAUUUGAGAUGAGUAUUGUUGGUUUUAAUGAUUAAUGCUUGGAGUAUUCUUGAAUUAUUGUUUAGUUCAUACGAAUGAUGAUUUCUUAUGGGUAGGUGUACAACUAUUUGUUUAAGUCUGAUUUCUUUUGCUAAUUAAUAUUUCUAAGUUUAUAAUUGCUUGGGAACAUUAAUGAAGUAGCUAACAGUUGUAGAGGAGGACGUUCCACUCUAUUAAUUAAAAAGUAAUUCUUGAUCUAGGUGAAACUGUGUUCCAAUAAUGUCAUGGUUGUUUGGGCUUGAUGUUUUCCUAGUUCUCAAUGUUGUCAUCAUGUUAAAUUCCUUUCUUGUAAUAUAAGGGUUAUCUGUUGGUUAGGGUUAGUGAAAGUUGUAUGGGAUUUAACCAUUAAUAAGGUUAAACACAGGAACUUGUUCCAUAAAUCAAGCUAUUCUAAAGGAUUAAGUAAUAUGUCCGUGAUUAUACAUUUUCAUGGUGGAUUUCUCUGUAUAGUUGCUAAGUAUUUCAAGUUCCUUAUCUGUUAUUGUUCCUGUUAGUUUAAGUUCCUAGUUGUUAGUUGCUCCUUCCCCUUAAACUCCCCCACCCCAAUCAUUUAUUUCAUUGUUGUGAGUCUUUGUUAACUGUUUUGGAUCUUAUUCUUAGUUAAUUGCAAGCACAUUCUUCGUGGGAUCGACCCCUACUUCCGCUAAUUCCAAGUUAGAAGUCUUAGGGUGAUUAUUAUUAAUUUGUGUGUUUUUCAACAUCGCAUCAUGGACCUACUGAGUUCGCGCCACCUCGUAUGUCUAUCCAUUACCAGGGGACAUACGGUCCAAUCGAGGAGAUGAUUUCUCUGGCUCCUGAGGAUAAGCGCUUCGUAGAGCGAUCGAUUACCGCGCACCAGUCUCGGUUCUCGCGCGAGGUGUUCACGGUGAUGGCACGGUGUAUAGAUGCCUUCCGGAGCCAACUCGUUCGGAUGCGGAAUGUGGCUACGUGUCGUUGCGACGACGCCGUUCAGGAGGAUCAGCCCAUUCCUUCUUAUACCCGGACGAGACCUAAGGUCCGCAGACGGCGAGGUCUAGCUCGAGACGUCGCUGUAAUGGUUCUGGCGUUCGGGGUGGUCGUUCUGAGGCUGCUCGGACCGAGGCGAUGGAGGGCUCGGGCUCUUCUUCUGAGGACGCACGUGCUGAGCCGGUAGGCCAGGUAGAGGCUACCUCGGCUCCUAAGGUGGGUGGGAUGUACAAGGUCGACUCGUCAUCACAGCAGCCUCCGCAGCCUAAGCCUUAGGGGCGAUCUUGGGUGGACGGGUCCUGUGCUGAGUUUUCCACCUCCCGAGGAGACUGGAGCUGGAGCCCGUGGAGAGAUUACUCCUCGUACUGCGCAGUUCCAUGACAUGAUGGGCGUCUCUCAUCAUCUGCGUCCUCCGACGCCGUAGUUUAUACCUGACUUUUUUUAUUUUUGACUUGUAUAGAACUGUGCCUUUAUUAGACUCAUUUAUUAGACAUAUUUGUAUAUGCAUAUUACUAUGAGCUUAUUUAUUUAGCAUUUAUUUUUCAUUUA